UACGUAGGGGCAAGCGUUGUCCGGAAUUACUGGGCGUAAAGAGUACGUAGGCGGUUUGUUAAGUUAGAUGUGAAAGUUUGCAGCUCAACUGUAAAAGUGCAUUUAAAACUGGCAGACUUGAGUCUCGGAGAGGUAAGCGGAAUUCCUAGUGUAGCGGUGAAAUGCGUAGAGAUUAGGAAGAACACCGGUGGCGAAGGCGGCUUACUGGACGAGUACUGACGCUCAGGUACGAAAGCGUGGGGAGCAAACAGGAUUAGAUACCCUGGUAGUCCCUGAGCGGG
rnacentral:rRNA from 1 species